rnacentral:rRNA from 1 species
AUUCCGUCGCAUCAUGAACAUGAAAACUCUAUUCAUAUGAGACGUGAGAAUCAAGUCUGGUGCCAGCAGCCGCGGUAAUUCCAGCUCCAAUAGCGUAUACUAAAAUUGUUGCGGUUAAAAAGCUCGUAGUUGCAUUUGUGCGCCGCGCUGUCGGUGCACCGCAUCCGCGGUGAUACUGACACGUCUGCGGAGCAUAUCGUCGGUGAGCCGUCGGUUAAACGUCGGUUCAAUAUCAAAAUCCUAUCGCGGUGCUCUUCAAUGAGUGUCGAGGUGGGCCGACAAUUUUACUUUGAACAAAUUAGAGUGCUCAAAGCGGGCUCAAAAUGCUGCUUGAAUAUUUCGUGCAUGGAAUAAUAGAAUAUGAUCUCGGUUCUAUUUUGUUGGUUUUCAGAACUCCGAGGUAAUGAUUAAUAGGGAUAACUGGGGGCAUUCGUAUUGCGACGUUAGAGGUGAAAUUCUUGGAUCGUCGCAAGACGAACAUCAGCGAAAGCAUUUGCCAAAGGUGUUUUCAUCAAUCAAGAACGAAAGUUAGAGGUUCGAAGGCGAUUAGAUACCGCCCUAGUUCUAACCGUAAAUAUGUCAUCUAGCGAUCCGCCGACGUUACUACAAUGGCUCGGCGGGCAGCUUCCGGGAAACCAAAGAUUUUGGACUCCGGGGGAGUAUGGUUGCAAAGCUGAAACUUAAAGGAAUUGACGGAAGGGCACCACCAGGAGUGGAGCCUGCGGCUUAAUUUGACUCAACACGGGAAAUCUCACCAGGCCCGGACACCGGAAGGAUUGACAGAUUAACAGCUCUUUCUUGAUUCGGUGGGUGGUGGUGCAUGGCCGUUCUUAGUUGGUGGAGCGAUUUGUCUGGUUAAUUCCGGUAACGAACGAGACUCUAGCCUGCUAAAUAGGCGUCGUCAUUUAGGUGUGCGUGGCUCCGUCACGCAACUCACUGGCGACGUAUUAAAAUUCUUCUUAGAGGACCGGCGGCUUCGAGCCGCACGAGAUUGAGCAAUAACAGGUCUGUGAUGCCCUUAGAUGUCCUGGGCCGCACGCGCGCUACACUGAAGGAAUCAGCAUGUUCUCCUGGCCUAGAGGCCCGGGCAACCCGCUGAAACUCCUUCGUGCUGGGAUUGGGGUUUGCAAUUAUCCCCCAUAAACGAGGAAUUCCUAGUAAGCGCGAGUCAUAAGCUCGCGUUGAUUACGUCCCUGCCCUUUGUACACACCGCCCGUCGCUACUACCGAUUGAAUGAUUUAGUGAGGUCUUCGGACCGACACGCGGUGGCUUCACGGCCGUCGGCGUUGCUGGGAAGUUGACCAAACUUGAUCAUUUAGAGGAAGUAAAAGUCGUAACAAGGUUUCCGUAGGGGAACCUGCGGAAG